UACGGAGGGUGCGAGCGUUGUCCGGAAUCAUUGGGCGUAAAGGGCGCGUAGGUGGCGGGACAAGCGUGUGGUGAAAGCUCGGGGCUCAACCCCGAGUCGGCCGUGCGAACUGUUUUGCUGGAGCACUGUAGAGGCAGGCGGAAUUCCGGGUGUAGCGGUGGAAUGCGUAGAGAUCCGGAAGAACACCGGUGGCGAAGGCGGCCUGCUGGGCAGUUGCUGACACUGAGGCGCGACAGCGUGGGGAGCAAACAGG
rnacentral:rRNA from 1 species